AGACUCUCCAGUGGUUAUGCCUCUGGGUGAUCCACUGACCUCUCAGGGGUCCUGUGCCCAAUCUUGACAGUAAAUGGUCAGUGUAGCACUAAUGGCCUGAGAAGCACAUGGGGGGGUCAGAGGUCCAGGGCCCUCAGAGUUACCCCACCUAGUUAGCCUCCUAGACCACAGAGAUACUGGGGUGUCCACAAUAGAGAGCAAAGGGGAGAGAUGGAAGAGACUGCAAAAAUGUGGAGAAGAUGCUCCAGACAGGGUGAACUUACUGCCCAAAGGAAGUGACUAUAAACGCAGAAGCACAGGAUGGGAUGGAGGCUGCAGCGCACUGCCCAGCCGCUCCCCUUCAGGGCCCAGACACCGCCCCCCCCCCCCCCCCCCCAAAGUGGGCAGUGCCGGCUGCUGACCGCGUGGCUGAGCUCUCUCCAGGACCGGCUGUCAGCCAAAGUGCUGCUCCAGAGAACGGGCCGGCCCAGCCCGCAGUGUAAACCUGUGCGCAGACCUCCGCUCAGAUUCCGGGUCCUGGGGAUUCUGACCUACGAUGAUGUCUCCGUUGUGAACACUGGCCUGGCUGUUGUUUACGGCUGUAGAGGAUCCUGCGGGGCACAUCCCUGCCCCUGGGCUGCUGGGAAUAUCUGCAGCUGGUGGCUCAGCACUGAGUCCCUUCCAGCCUCAGGAAGCCGCCUCAUUCCAAGGGCCAGUCACUGGCUGAUGCAGGCAAACAAAGGCCCAUUGCCUCAACUGGGGACAGCCUUGAACCAGGGCCAUGGCAGCUCUGGUGGGGGCCCUGUAGGAUCAGCUGAGGCUUCAGUGGAAACUGCCCAGUUGGUAGGCUCCUCCCUCUGCCCCUCCUGCCCUGCUCUGCUAACACUGGUCCUCCCCAGAGCACUCAACCAGCAAAACUUUUGCACACGCUUCUUCCAUCUCAGAGUCUUUUUCCCUGCAAACCCACUGAACUUCAUGGUGGCUUUGAUUUUCAGACACAUUUAAAUUUUGGAUUCGAAUCAGUCUUUUCCUUUGUGGCUACCCAGUUUUGAAUUGGGCUGUUUUAACAUUUUAAACUUUUUUAAUGUGAUUGACCGGUCAUCUGCAACAUCCUCUGCUGAAUCAGAGCUUUUCUCAAUUAUUUUACAUCCUACAUACACUUAUUAUAUAUGGCAUUAGUGUAUUUAUUCGGUCAGGCUUCUAGAGUCUCUAUUCUGUAUCACUGACCAGUCCAUUUCUUUUUAGUUUUAGAACACACUGUUUUAAUCAGGGUAGCUUUGUAAGUCACUUUGUUAACUGCAUUUUGUUUUAUUUUGUGUUAGACUCCCUUGAAUCCUUUUAGGAACAUGGCAGAAUGUUAAUACCAUAAA